GGCGAGCAUGGAGGAGAAGUACCUGCCGGAGCUGAUGGCGGAGAAGGACUCCCUGGACCCCUCCUUCACGCACGCUCUGCGGCUGGUGAACCAAGAAAUAGAAAAGUUUCAGAAAGGAGAAGGCAAGGACGAAGAAAAGUACAUCGAUGUGGUGAUUAAUAAGAACAUGAAGCUGGGACAGAAAGUGUUAAUUCCUGUAAAGCAGUUCCCUAAGUUCAACUUUGUGGGGAAACUUUUGGGUCCCCGUGGCAAUUCUCUGAAGCGCUUACAAGAAGAAACCUUGACGAAAAUGUCCAUCCUUGGAAAAGGUUCCAUGCGAGACAAGGCAAAGGAAGAAGAGUUGAGGAAGAGUGGGGAAGCAAAAUACUUUCACCUCAACGACGACCUCCACGUUCUCAUCGAAGUGUUCGCUCCACCAGCAGAAGCAUAUGCCCGGAUGGGACACGCACUGGAGGAAAUCAAAAAGUUCCUCAUUCCUGACUAUAAUGAUGAAAUCAGGCAAGCACAGCUCCAAGAGUUGACGUAUUUGAAUGGUGGUUCAGAAAACGCGGACGUCCCAGUUGUUCGAGGAAAACCCACCUUGCGUACAAGAGGUGUACCAGCCCCAGCAGUAACCAGGGGAAGGGGAGGAGUCACAGCCCGGCCAGUUGGAGUUGGUGUACCACGAGGGACGCCGGCUUCCAGGGGAGUCCUUUCCACCCGAGGGCCAGUGAGUCGGGGAAGAGGGCUUCUCACUCCCAGAGCAAGAGGAGUGCCCCCAACUGGGUACAGACCUCCGCCGCCACCCCCAACACAAGAGACCUACGGAGAUUAUGACUAUGAUGAUGGUUAUGGCACUGCUUAUGACGAACAGAGUUAUGAUUCCUAUGAUAACAGCUAUAGCACCCCUGCCCAAAGUGGUGCUGAUUACUAUGAUUACGGACAUGGACUCAGCGAAGAGACGUACGAUUCCUACGGGCAAGAGGACUGGACUAACUCAAGACACAAGGCACCUUCAGCGAGGACAGCAAAGGGCGUCUACAGAGACCAGCCAUAUGGCAGAUACUGAUUGUACUGUCUGAUGUUGUGAAAUAGCCAAUCUCCACCAGUCCUGUAUACUGUUCAAAGAAAUGUCAGCCAUCUUGGGAAGUCAAAGGAACCGGUUGUGCCCGGGGAGCAAACAAAGGGGCUUUCCCUCAAGUUGUGGACUGCUUACGAAUUGUCAACUCACCAACGUGCCUAGUCAGUAAAUGAAUUCACUUGGGAGCUUGAAAAUCGUCUUAAUUUUUUGUUUCACAAUUUUAUGUCCUGUGAAAUGUUUUUAUAAAAUGGUAUGCUUUUUUAAUUUGGAAAGCCUGUUUUAAAAAAGGGAAGGAAAAUCCCGUCUUAUUUUGUGGUCUCCCAACAACGAACGAACAAAUGAUCUGUGUAUCACUUAAUAAAGGCUGUCCGUUUCA